UACGUAGGGGGCAAGCGUUGUCCGGAUUUAUUGGGCGUAAAGAGCUCGUAGGUGGUUCGGUAAGUCGGAUGUGAAAUCUCCAGGCUCAACCUGGAGGGGUCAUUCGAUACUGCCGUGACUAGAGGUCGGUAGGGGAGUGUGGAAUUCCUGGUGGAGCGGUGAAAUGCGCAGAUAUCAGGAGGAACACCGGUGGCGAAGGCGGGUCUCUGGGCAACUACUGACGCUGAGGAGCGAAAGCGUGGGGAGCGAACAGG
rnacentral:rRNA from 1 species